rnacentral:rRNA from 1 species
AUACGUAGGGGGCGAGCGUUGUCCGGAAUGAUUGGGCGUAAAGGGCGCGUAGGCGGCCUGUUAAGUCUGGAGUGAAAGUCCUGUUUUCAAGAUGGGAAUUGCUUUGGAUACUGAUGGGCUUGAGUGCAGGAGAGGUUAUCGGAAUUCCCGGUGUAGCGGUGAAAUGCGUAGAGAUCGGGAGGAACACCAGUGGCGAAGGCGGGUAACUGGAAUGCAACUGACGCUGAGGCGCGAAAGUGUAGGGAGCAAACAGGAUUAGAUACCCUGGUAGUCCACACUGUAAACGAUGAAUGCUAGGUGUAAGAGGUAUCGACCCCUUUUGUGCCGGAGUUAACACAAUAAGCAUUCCGCCUGGGGAGUACGGCCGCAAGGUUGAAACUCAAAGGAAUUGACGGGG